UGAGGAAUAUUGGUCAAUGGGCGCAGGCCUGAACCAGCCAAGUAGCGUGAAGGAUGACUGCCCUAUGGGUUGUAAACUUCUUUUAUAAAGGAAUAAAGUCGGGUAUGUAUACCCGUUUGCAUGUACUUUAUGAAUAAGGAUCGGCUAACUCCGUGCCAGCAGCCGCGGUAAUACGGAGGAUCCGAACGUUAUCCGGAUUUAUUGGGUUUAAAGGGAGCGUAGAUGGAUGUUCAAGUCAGUUGUGAAAGUUUGCGGCUCAACCGUAAAAUUGCAGUUGAUACUGGAUAUCUUGAGUGCAGUUGAGGCAGGCGGAAUUCGUGGUGUAGCGGUGAAAUGCUUAGAUAUCACGAAGAACUCCGAUUGCGAAGGCAGCCUGCUAAACCGCCACUGACGUUGAGGCUCGAAAGUGUGGGUAUCAAACAGGAUUAGAUACCCUGGUAGUCCACACGGUAAACGAUGGAUACUCGCUGUUGGCGAUAGACUGUCAGCGGCUUAGCGAAAGCGUUAAGUAUCCCACCUGGGGAGUACGCCGGCAACGGUGAAACUCAAAGGAAUUGACGGGGGCCCGCACAAGCGGAGGAACAUGUGGUUUAAUUCGAUGAUACGCGAGGAACCUUACCCGGGCUUGAAUUGCAGACGAAUUGCUUGGAAACAGGCAAGCCGCAAGGCGUCUGUGAAGGUGCUGCAUGGUUGUCGUCAGCUCGUGCCGUGAGGUGUCGGCUUAAGUGCCAUAACGAGCGCAACCCUCGUGUCCAGUUACUAGCAGGUUAUGCUGAGGACUCUGGACAGACUGCCAUCGUAAGAUGUGAGGAAGGUGGGGAUGACGUCAAAUCAGCACGGCCCUUACGUCCGGGGCUACACACGUGUUACAAUGGGGGGUACAGCAGGCAGCUACCGGGCGACCGGAUGCCAAUCCCGAAAGCCUCUCUCAGUUCGGACUGGAGUCUGCAACCCGACUCCACGAAGCUGGAUUCGCUAGUAAUCGCGCAUCAGCCACGGCGCGGUGAAUACGUUCCC
rnacentral:rRNA from 1 species